rnacentral:rRNA from 1 species
GACGAACGCUGGCGGCGUGCCUAACACAUGCAAGUCGAACGGAGUUCCUUCGGGGACUUAGUGGCGAACGGGUGAGUAACGCGUGAAGAACCUGCCUUUCAGUGGGGGACAACAGUUGGAAACGACUGCUAAUACCGCAUAAUGUUAUUUGAGGGCAUCCUCGGAUAACCAAAGAUUUAUUGCUGAAAGAUGGCUUCGCGUCUGAUUAGCUAGAUGGCGGGGUAACGGCCCACCAUGGCGACGAUCAGUAGCCGGUCUGAGAGGAUGAACGGCCACAUUGGGACUGAGAUACGGCCCAGACUCCUACGGGAGGCAGCAGUGGGGAAUAGUUGGGCAAUGGGCGAAAGCCUGACCCAGCAACGCCGCGUGAAGGAAGAAGGCCCUCGGGUUGUAAACUUCUUUACCAGGGACGAAUAAUGACGGUACCUGGAAGAAAAAGCAAACGGCUAAACUACGUG